UAAAAUAAGGGUGUCUAUCGUAUCCCGAAUCCCGACAGUUAUUUUCGGCCCAUCCCAGUGUCCCGAAAAUACCCGUUCUCCCCCUCAUACAUAGUAGACCAUAUUGUCACAUUGAUGUUUUCUUUCAUUACAGUUAGACUUCGAGAUCUACAUUUUCGACAAAGGCCUGGUGUAAUAUUACAUACUUGAUGAAGGUUUAAUGACACGAAUGAGUACAAGUACAUUACAUUUUUCGACGAAGGCCUUCUGUAAUUUCAUACACUUCUUACGCAACAUUCAAUAGAUUUAUUUACUGUAUUAUCAUUUCGACCAAGGCGAAUUCGACACUUCAGUUACACAAGCACAAUCAAACUUAGUCAUUCCAGUCAGUUACUGAAGCACAGCGAAAACUGUCUGAAUUAGUGCUGCUGAUGGCAUGUAAUUACUCUACUACCACUACCAGUGACAGUCAAUGUCCAUAUAUUUUCAAGUGUGCGAAAUUAGUACUCGUCUACUUCUUAGUGUUAUUUGAAUGCAAUGUAUGUCAUAAAAAUAUUUUUUCAACACUAUAUCAACAUUCUCAUUCCUGUCAGUUUCUGAAAAUCAGCUAAAGCAAUCGCUACCAAUGCAGCUGAUAACAGCAAUUCUUUUUGUUCCCAAUGCCCAUCCAUGACAAUAUAUUUCACGCAUGUGACAAUCAUGUAAUCAUCCUGUUUUUUGUGUUCUAUUCAUGCAAUAAAUAAAUUCAGUAUUUUCAAAUCAUUGGUGCUACAAAACUAUUCUCAUUAUAUAUUAUUCAUAUUUUAUAAAAUGCUGUCAUGUCAAAUUUUGUGUCCUAUAAAUCAUUAUGAAGUCGGCAUUUUAUAUACAACUUUUGUACUCCUCCUAAAUAAACAUACAAAUCUUGUUUUAUGUAAACUUUGUAUACGUGACCCGUCACAGCAAAACCAGGCGCAUGUCGCUCUGAGCUUGGCAGGUUGAGACGGACUGUUCUAAUCUUUCAUUAGCGACACCAUUUCUUACCCGAGUGCCUCCUUCAUUCAUACAUCUUGUACUUUAACUCAAGAUACCCAUCUUUGAAUAUUUUUAGUAUACCAAGUACUACAAUGUCAAUGUAUUGAAGUCAUGUUCUUGUAGUGUUAUUGGCUUUCUACUAUUAUUUUGUCAAAAUACCACUUGGUUCUCGCAAAAUCUCAAUAAAAACAAAUGCUAUUGCAUGUAUUGCAUAUUCUAACAGCUAUCCACUGUAUCGAUUUAUCCAUCAUCUGUACUAUUUGUCACAAAAAUGUUAUAUUAUGUAAAUCAUAUUUCAUUACAUAAUGCACACUGCCAAUUACUGCUGAACCAUUCAUAUGUCAUUUAAAUAAAUAAUUUUCAACUUUUUAAAACCGUCUUAUAGUACUGUUCUUGUCACUUAGCUGAACCAAUUGCUCUAUAGCAUGAAAUUUCCAGAAAUGCCCCAGGGACUGAAAAGUGCUGUUUUAACAGAGAGGUGUCCUAAACUGAGAAGUCGAGUUGAAUGGAAACAACCAAUUUGGAACCAAAAACUACUGUCCUUAUUAAAGAGGUUGUCCUCAAUAGAAAGGUGUCCACAAAAAGUAGGUCCACUGUAUAUGAAAGUACAAACCCUGGUACAUGUAGUGACAUCAUCUACUCCUCGAUGUGGACACCUGCAAAUGCAGCGACAAUGUCACAUCAGUUAUUUAAUUCAUCGUCCUUUGUGCAGAUGGCACCACCCAUCA